CCUACGGGUGACAGCAGUGGGGAAUAUUGCUCAAUGGGCGAAAGCCUGACGCAGCCACGCCGCGUGAGGGAUGAAGGUCCUCGGAUUGUUAACCUCUUUUUGUAGGGAAGAACGGUCACUGUGCUAAUCAGCUCUGAAUUUACGGUACCUGCAAAGGUAGCACCGGCUAACUCCGUGCCAGCAGCCGCGGUAAUGCGGAGGGUGCGAGCGUUAAUCGGAAUUACUGGGGGUAAAGCGCGCGUAGGCGGUAUGUCAAGUCAAGGGUCAAAUGGCCGGGCUCAACGUGGGAACUGCCUUUGAAACUGGCAAACUGGAGUGUGUGAGAGGAUGGUGGAAUGAGAGGUGUAGGAGUGAAAUGCGUAGAUAUUUGGAAGAACAUC
rnacentral:rRNA from 1 species